GCCUGAGUGGCUUAGUUGGUCAAGUGUCUGACUUCAGCUCAGGUCAUGAUCUCAUGGUUCGUGAGUUCAAGCCCCACGUCGGACU
rnacentral:tRNA from 1 species